CAGUGAAAUUGAACUCGCUGUGAAGAUGCAGUGUACCCGCGGCAAGACGGAAAGACCCCGUGAACCUUUACUAUAGCUUGACACUGAACAUUGAGCCUUGAUGUGUAGGAUAGGUGGGAGGCUUUGAAGUGUGGACGCCAGUCUGCAUGGAGCCGACCUUGAAAUACCACCCUUUAAUGUUUGAUGUUCUAACGUUGGCCCCUGAUCGGGGUUGCGGACAGUGUCUGGUGGGUAGUUUGACUGGGGCGGUCUCCUCCUAAAGAGUAACGGAGGAGCACGAAGGUUGGCUAAUCCUGGUCGGACAUCAGGAGGUUAGUGCAAUGGCAUAAGCCAGCUUGACUGCGAGCGUGACGGCGCGAGCAGGUGCGAAAGCAGGUCAUAGUGAUCCGGUGGUUCUGAAUGGAAGGGCCAUCGCUCAACGGAUAAAAGGUACUCCGGGGAUAACAGGCUGAUACCGCCCAAGAGUUCAUAUCGACGGCGGUGUUUGGCACCUCGAUGUCGGCUCAUCACAUCCUGGGGCUGAAGUAGGUCCCAAGGGUAUGGCUGUUCGCCAUUUAAAGUGGUACGCGAGCUGGGUUUAGAACGUCGUGAGACAGUUCGGUCCCUAUCUGCCGUGGGCGCUGGAGAACUGAGGGGGGCUGCUCCUAGUACGAGAGGACCGGAGUGGACGCAUCACUGGUGUUCGGGUUGUCAUGCCAAUGGCACUGCCCGGUAGCUAAAUGCGGAAGAGAUAAGUGCUGAAAGCAUCUAAGCACGAAACUUGCCCCGAGAUGAGUUCUCCCUGACUCCUUGAGAGUCCUGAAGGAACGUUGAAGACGACGACGUUGAUAGGCCGGGUGUGUAAGCGCAGCGAUGCGUUGAGCUAACCGGUACUAAUGAACCGUGAGGCUUAACCUUACAAC
rnacentral:rRNA from 1 species